AUAUCCUUCCCCUUUUGCUCCUGAUUUGACUUCCUCCUUAAUUGCAGAAUGCAGAAUUCUUUUAAAGGGGAGUUUGAAUAUGUGAACACAACAGUAUGAAAUGCUGCAGCUGGAACAGCCCAUUAAUACUGGUGAGAAAAUGUUCCUGGGCAGGACUAUUCCCCAUCAUCUAGGGAGCCACUUUUUUGACUUUGCAUUUGAUCAACUAGGCUUUGAAUUCUUAAGAAUUAGGCAUCAUCUGUGGCCAUAAAUGAAUAGAAGAUAUCAGUGCCUGGAUACUCUUGGGCAGAGGGUAAAGAUGAGGUUGUCUUGUGUUGUAGGAUCUGAUGGUAUGAAUGGCCGCCAAGAUCAAUACCAGGAGAACUGCUGCCAUCCACAUCCACAGACGCAGGUUUGAAUCAAUGGGAACUUCGGAAAUCAUUGCAGACCACUAACAUCAUUGGUGUGACAGACUUCUGAUCACGAGGUGGUCCAAGGAGGAAAGAAAGAAAUUAACAGACAAAAUUCAGAUGAGAACCAGUCUUUUCCUCCUGGAGUCCAGAGAGUUACACAGAUGCUGUCUGAUGAUUGGCUGCUUCGUGGACAUACUUAGCAGUCACAGGUCACAGGGAAUCUGGGACAAUCAUCCUCAUGGAAUGUUCUCAGUAAGGGCAUUGCAGCUGCUGUGUCUCAAAGGACUUAGACCCAAAAGUGGAGUCUUUCAAAAACCCAAGCUCGAGGAGUCCGAGGUGCCAAUGAAGACCCCAAUAUCCAAGGUGCUCAUGAAGAAUGCUAACCGAAUUCAUGGAAUGUGAAGAUAUAAAUGAACGUUGGUAUUUUACAUAUAUGGCUUUACAUACAUACACAGACCUGAGUAAAUUAUAAAAAUGUGUAUUUAAUUAUUUCAUCUAUAUGUCCAAAUGUCUAUAUAUUUAAAUUGGUAAUAAAAAGCUUUAAAGAAAUCUUUUCAGUGAAAAACCAUGGCUGGUCGCCUUAGGUUUGGGUUGCCACCAAAUGGAAAUUUUAUUAAAAUCUAUGUGCUCCUGUUGGAAAUGUGUCAAAUAUUUGAGCAAUAUGUGAGAUAUCAAAUUCAGGGGACUAAGGAAGCUGGUGAAGCACGGUCUGGACCCAGGGUGACCCAGAGACUGGAUUUGGCUCUCGGAAAUGAUUCCUUUGUCCUUCUCAGGUUUUUAUACGUUUGAAGAUUUUGCAUUAAAUAUGGGAAAAUGGAGUCUCAGUAAAAUAAUUGCAGGUGUGGUCACUGAGUCCGCAUUCCCACACAGCAGUGAUCCAAUGGAAGUGAGGACAAACACCAACCGCUUUGGGCAGGGCAUGUGCCACUCACUUUGCCGCAGUCCCCACCACU
rnacentral:lncRNA from 1 species